rnacentral:lncRNA from 1 species
AAAAAAAUCUAACAAAAAAAAAAACCCCAGGCUCUUCCUCCCCGUUGCUUUCUGAGCUGAGAAGAAAGCCUCCUAAAUAUUUUGUCCCCUUGACAAGUUAUUUUUAAAAAGAAAUAAUGUCUCUAGAUCCAACAUUUGUGAUGACUUAAAAAAAAAAAAAAAGAAAAGAAAACACGCCACAAAUCAACAGCUCUCUUGUUUUAAGCAAUUGCUAGGUUUUGGAGAGCAGGCUGCUUGGUAAACAUACUUGGUAAACAUCCAGAAAGGAUUGCAUGCAGUGUCCUCCAGUCAAAACCAACCUUCCCCAAGCCCCUGCUUUCUGUUUCAUUGAUGCAGGAAGAAGCUCUCUAAAAGCAGACCAGAGAUGAGGCUGCCGCAGUUACUGGAGGACAUUUCUUCUGGGCUGGGAAAUCUACAAGCAUCUGCUCUCUCCAGUCCCCAUGACUGUCUUCCCCAGCUGUAUUCAGAAGGCCGUGGAUGUCUCCUCAGCAACCCCCCAACCCUGCGUCCUUCUCAUCAGAUGUCCUGGUGAGUAUUCUUUUCGAGAUGUUUCUUGAAUGAAUGAAUGAAGUGUGAGAAUGCUCACGGUUGCCUGGGGAAGGAGAGGUUAUUUGAAACAGGCUUAGCGUACAACAUGUGGGGCAGGGCGUGGAGCCACUCUGGGUAGUGUGUGUGUGUGUUUACAUGUGGGUGUGAAAGGUGGAGGGAAAAAAUUAGGCAGCAACUCCCCUGUAGCUGGUGUGUCCUGAGCCUGAGCUUUCCCAGGCAGAGAUCUCAGUCUCCCCGUUUAUCCUUCCGGCCAGGGGGUGGGGUGGGGGCUGG